GGGUUUUUUCUCCCCUAGCUUUGGGAUUUGCCUCCUAGUCAGCAGUAGACUGUUUUGUCCUGCUCUGCUAUACCUGCACAUGACUUAAACCUUUUCCCUUGUUUUCACAGCUUCUGGCCCUGGCUGGGUGAAUCCUCACAGCAGUCGCUUGCAGCUGAGUACAGUGCAGGACAUGGAGGCUGUGCCCUGGAGGACAGAAUGGAGGACUCCUGGCCUCCCUGAUCCCACCGCAGCAGAUACAAGGUAAGGCUAAAUCCCCACAGCACCUUUCCAAAAAGGUGUCCACACUACAUAUACUGCCAGGAUCCAUCUCCUGCAUGGUGACCACCGCUCUGCUUCCACCCACACCUCCAGG
rnacentral:lncRNA from 1 species